rnacentral:rRNA from 1 species
CUACGGGUGGCAGCAGUAGGGAAUAUUGGUAAUGGGCGAAAGCCUGAACCAGCAACGCCGCGUGCACGAUGAAGGCCUUCGGGUUGUAAAGUGCUUUUUGAGGGGAUGAGGAAGGACAGUACCCUCAGAAUAAGCCUCGGCUAACUACGUGCCAGCAGCCGCGGUAACACGUAGGAGGCAAGCGUUAUUCGGAUUUACUGGGCGUAAAGCGCGUGCAGGCGGUCAGGAAAGUUAGAUGUGAAAGCUCCCGGCUCAACUGGGAGAGGUCGUUUAAAACUACCUGACUAGAGUAUGGAAGAGGGAGGUAGAAUUCCGGGUGUAGUGGUGAAAUGCGUAGAUAUCCGGAGGAAUACCAGUGGCGAAGGCGACCUCCUGGUCCAAUACUGACGCUCAGACGCGAAAGCUAGGGUAGCAAACGGGAUUAGAUACCCGUGUAGUC